rnacentral:lncRNA from 1 species
AUAAAUGCUGCGUUCCAUGAGCUAAGUACUGAAGUUAUUACCAUGACGACAAGACCACCUUCUUGCCUACAGUUCGGAGAUUAAUAAAGGGCUUCUGAGAUAACUACGAGGCACAUGAAAUAACCCAGGAACUAUAAAUUACAAAAGGCCCCCGAGUCUCCCUGGCAAUCAAUAAAGCACAGAAGCUUUGUUCAGAUUGCCAACCACCCGGUUCAGUUCUGGACAACCUCAUACUGCCAUCCACAUAAGGUGUCUAUGCUGCAUUGUAACUUUUGGAAAAACAUGCACACACCUGGUGCCACCUGGGUAGGUGUGACCAGAACCUGCCUGUUGGAAAA